UACGUAGGAGGCAAGCGUUGUCCGGAAUUACUGGGCGUAAAGCGCGUGUAGGUGGUGGGACAAGUCUGCUGUGAAAGCGCCUGGCUUAACCGGGCGAGGUCGGCGGAAACUGUCCGACUCGAGGACGGUAGAGGGGGGUGGAAUUCCCGGUGUAGUGGUGAAAUGCGUAGAGAUCGGGAGGAACACCUGUGGCGAAGGCGGCGCCCUGGCUCGCAACUGACGCUCAGACACGACAGCAUGGGGAGCGAACGGG
rnacentral:rRNA from 1 species